rnacentral:piRNA from 1 species
GUCACCAUCAUAAGUGAACCUUGGUUUGCUGC